AUUGAACGCUGGCGGCAGGCCUAACACAUGCAAGUCGAGCGGAUGAAGGGAGCUUGCUCCUGGAUUCAGCGGCGGACGGGUGAGUAAUGCCUAGGAAUCUGCCUGGUAGUGGGGGAUAACGUCCGGAAACGGGCGCUAAUACCGCAUACGUCCUGAGGGAGAAAGUGGGGGAUCUUCGGACCUCACGCUAUCAGAUGAGCCUAGGUCGGAUUAGCUAGUUGGUGGGGUAAAGGCCUACCAAGGCGACGAUCCGUAACUGGUCUGAGAGGAUGAUCAGUCACACUGGAACUGAGACACGGUCCAGACUCCUACGGGAGGCAGCAGUGGGGAAUAUUGGACGAUGGGCGAAAGCCUGAUCCAGCCAUGCCGCGUGUGCGAAGAAGGUCUUCGGAUUGUAAAGCACUUUAAGUUGGGAGGAAGGGCAGUAAGUUAAUACCUUGCUGUUUUGACGUUACCAACAGAAUAAGCACCGGCUAACUUCGUG
rnacentral:rRNA from 1 species